UGUUAUCUACUUACUUGAAAUAUUAGAUCUAUUACAAAUCUAUUUUUCAUUAAAAACAACCCUAUGUGAUGAAAAUGUAAAUGUACUUACAAAACUGGUAAAUGCAUGAACCAGGGCAUUGACACUGGUUGGAGAGAAAUUAUAGGCUUUGUUUAAUUAAUACCUAUUUCAUUUUAGGCUUCUACUGAUAAUGGAGAGUAGAAACAACAAGAAGUGCGUUAUUUGUAAUAAGAGGCGAAGUCGUGGUGGAUCACCCUUACUUUUGAGUAGGUUUCCUCUGGAUUCUGACCGUUGUCGAAUGUGGGUUAAAAAUGCUGGCAUAGAAGACUUAGCAUAUGUACCUAUUGAAAAGUUACACCAACUUAAGUUUGUUUGUGGUGGGCACUUCACUCCUGAAUCCUUCAAUGCCAAAGGAACUCGGCUGAAGAACUCAGCUAUUCCAACACUGGAAUUGAGCAAUCCCAUCUUGCCAGAUGAAGUUUUGACAGAGUUUCCUCUUCAUGUAAAAGACUCCAAUAAAGAAAACCUCAAGACAGUUCUUUAUGAUCAUUCAUAUUGCAUUCCAAAGAAGUCAAAUCCAGUUGAACGAG